UUCCUUUUUGGAUUUUUUCUGAGCUGCAAGUGGGUUUUGUCUCUCUGCCUACAAUUUUAAGCUGAAGGAGGGUUUUUGCUUUUAGAGAUUCUCUCUGGAAAGUCAGGAUUUUGUGGAGAAAUCUUUGGCAUCCAAGUGGAGGAUUUAUUUGGAGAAAACCAAAUUCCCUUGAGUCUGCCAGUGGUCCAGCUGCCAAAAUUCCUCUUGGCUAAGGUAUUACCACGUCCUCUUCACCCACUUCUUGCCUGCUCCACUAAGAGACCUUGUGGAUGAGCUCUCAGAAUGUGAAGAUAUUUUGAUGAAUUUCCUUGUGGCUGAAGUCACCAAGCUUCCCCCCAUCAAAGUACCACAGAGAAAGCUGCUCCAGGAGGUUCUCCAGCAUGCCCAAGGGAAGCAGCCUUCCAGGGACUGCAUCAGCAAGUUUGCCUCAUGGUUUGGUCAUAUGCCUCUGGUGCAUUCACAGCUCCGCUUGGACCCUGUGCUCUUCAAGGACCAGGUGUCUGUCCUGAGAAAGAAGUAUCGGCACUUGGAGAGACUUUAGACCCGGGACGCUGCCCCUGCCUGAGCUCAUCAGGCUUCCCAAAGGCCUUGGGUGGUGAAAAAAGUAUCAGAGAGGAAGGUUUAACCGGGCACUUUCUACUUUCCUCCAGAGGACCAAUGGAGGGGGGAACACGGUGUGGAUGGGGCAUCCUAGUUUAAGAAUGGGGAUUCCCAUCCUGACUCUUCUACUUGCCCCAUGUGUGCCCCGAGCAAAUCACUGAACCUUUCUGGGGCCUUAGUUUCCUGGUCUGUCCAAUAAGAGGUCUGGACUAGCUGACCUCUGAGGCCCCUCCCAGCCCUGAAUACAGGAUCCUACGAAUACAGGACUCCCUUCCAGCCUUAAGAUCCAAGAAGGCUCAUUAUUGCUUAGCCUGUGCUAAGAGGAAAGUAGGUGACCCCGCGGGUCUGCUGCAUUAUGCCUUGGGAGGAAGGGAACAGCCUGAUAUCUGGCUCCCAAAGGCUGAUUAUCUGGCACAGAGGGCCCAUGCCAAGACUUCUCAGGUCUUGAGAUGCUCAGGCGGGCACCCUCCCUGCCAUCCCUCCUGGCGCCACUAGAGGGCAGCACGAGGCCAGGCUCCUUGCCCGUGGCUGGGCUUUUCUCCCUGUCCUGGGCAACCUGGUUCAUAGUUGGGCAGCAGAAGGGGAGAGCCCAGAAGGGAUAUGUGUUACCCCCUCCACCAUCAGGAGUGAGGCAGGCUAAACCAGAGCUGGGGGAGGAAAUGGGGGGAGUGGAGGAGCAGUUCACUGGCCAGGGAUUAUUAGAGACACUUUUAAAUUGAGAAAAUCGCUGCAGAACCUGUGAGCCCAGCUGGAACCAGCCAAGACUGUACUGUCUGGGGCCAAUUCAGUAUUCACUCUCUCUCUCUGUGUGUCUCUCUGUCUCUCACUAUCUCUCUGUCUCUCCCUUUCUCCCUCCCUCCCUUUCUCUCUCACUCUCUCCCUUCUCCCUCUCUCUCUCUGUCUCUCCUCUGUCUCUGUCACUGUCUCUCUUCCUCCCUCUCCUCUCUCUUACUCUUUCUCUUCCCCCACCCCCUCUCCCUCUCUCUCUUUCUGUGUCUCUCUCCUCUGUCUCUCUCUGUCACUGUCUCUCUCUUUCUCCUUCCCUUCCUCCCUCUGUCUCUCCCACUCUCUCUCUCCCCCUCUUCUUCUCCCUCUCUCUGUCUCUGUCUCUCCCUCUCUCCUUCAUCCAUCUCACUUUUAUGGGGGAUGGGUGUGAAGGGACCCCACAGAAGCAUUGGGGUUAGACCCUCUGGAGACAGUCUCUUGGAGGGAAGGUGAGGCCUGGAGGAGGGGCUCCUAGGGAUGGAGGCAGAUGGGCAUCUUGAGACAAGAUCCCACGGUUUGCACAGCCUUUUCCUUAGGAUGACAGCUUUAAGGUGGAUAGUGGAUGAGCACUCCCAUUUUAUAAAGGGAGAAAAUGAGGCUCCCACAGGUGUAGUGCCUUAGACACUUGGCUAAGGGAGACCUUCCUCUUCCUGGAGGAUGUUUCUAAGUCUGGGAAAGACCUUAGGGCUGAUCUCAGCCAAGCCUCAUUUGAAUGGAUGAGGAAACAGUUAGAAGAACUGGACUGGAAGCUUAGUUCCACUAAUUGCCUCCAAGACAAACCUUUACUUCCUUGGCUUCCAUUUCCUCAUCUGUGAAAUGGGGGUGGAGGAGUGGAGUGGGAAGGGGAGAUGGACUCAUCCUGAAGUCCCAUUCAGCUCUAAGUGCUCUUGGGUAGUAAAAGUGGCCCAAGAAAUCAGCAACACGAGUGUUCCCAUUUGGGCCUCUGACCUUCUUGUGUGGUGACAUUUGAGCAAGCUCGGAGGGUCUUCUUGUCUGGGCCAACCAUCAGAUGAGCGUCUCCCUGCCCCUGCCCAGCUGCCAGUCCCUUGACCUGGUCCAGGGAGGGAUGAGCUUAAAUCUCCUUAGCCCAUUGCCCAGCCCAGCCCAUCACAGUUUGCCUGGGGUGAGGCUGCUCCAGUCACUUUGGAAAUAAGGGGCCCAGGCUCUGCCUCAUCUUGCCUAGGCUAUAAAUAGCUCCUCUGGCAGCUGCACUAUCAGAGGCCUAGGAACUUGGGGGAGGGAUUGUGUAGGAGGCAGAGGUCUGGCCAGGCCCAGGGGGCAGUGAGGGCCCAUGGGGAGGGUGGUCCUUCCCAGAGGCCAGGGCAUCAGGUAUUGGGGUGAAUCCAAGGAAGUUUGGAAACUCCGCUGGUAACCCAGCUCCCGGGGAACACACUGUCCCCUGGGGUGCCUCCUGAUUCACUUGGGACACCAUGACUCAUGCUUCUCCCCAGAGCUGGGGGGGGGGUGGGAGGAAGGAGCAGCUGGGGGCAUUCAGUGAGGAAUCAAUCCUCCCUCCAAAAAGGGGCCAGGGAGCCAAGAGCUCUGGCUCAGGUAGUCUGGACAAGAGUCAAGAACAGUUCAGAGCUGGGGAAUGUAACCCAGGGAAAGGUUGGCUUGGCACUUCUACGGGGCCAACUCAGGCAGAGAGCACCUGGCCAGCCAGAAAGAACAGGUGUGUAGAAGCAGAGGUUGAAAGCCCAGCCUUUUGCAGAGGCAUAACAUCACAGAGUGGGGGGCACCCUUCAAGAUCUAGGUUCUAAUCCUGCCACUGACAUUUUUAACUGGCUGGACAAGUCACUCAGCCUAUUUCCUCAUAUGACAGAUGAGGAAACUGAGGCCAACUGGGUUAAAUGACUUGCUGAGGUUCACAUAGCUAAUAUUUGAGGCUGGAUUUGAACUCAGGUUUUCCUAAUUCUAGGUCCAGUGCUCUAGUCAUUAAAAAAUAAUUUUACCUUCUGUCUUAGGAUAAAUUCUAAGAUGGGAGAGUGACAAAGCCUAGGCAAUCUCAGUUAAGUGACUUGCCCUGAGUCAUACAAUUAGAGCAUAUCUGAGGCCAGAUUAAACCCAGGUGUUCCCAACUCCAGGCUUGGUGCUCUAUCUACUGAGGUACCUAGAUGCUUGCUUUCUCUAUCCAAGGAGGUACCUAGCUUCCUAUAUUCUAAUUCUCCUCUGGUCCACCCAGAGGGAAAAAGCCACAGCCCUAGGUUUAACAGUCUCUCCCCCACAGCAGCUAGUCUCUCAGAAUUCCAGAACUAUGUCCUUUUUCUGUCAGUCUGCAAACUCACACACAUUUAACUUUUACUCAUAUCACUAGGUCUUGAACCUAUUGUUUCUCCAGGGCUAGGUUCCUUUCCCCAUGCCAAAAUAUGGUCCAUUUCCUACCUCACCUCCCUCCACCAUCAGGGCUGUAUCUGGAUCAUGAUAACAUUAUGCCACAACCUCUUCAGGGGAUUCAGCAUAAAGGAUACAUCGUAUAGAGAGAGAAUAACAUUUAUACUCAUGCAUAUGUAUAUAAUACAUAUAAAGGAGAUAGAGUAUCUAUACAGAAUAGCUGUCAUAACUUGACAGUUACAAACUCUUUAAGAACUCUUGAGAAAUGGGAGCGAGUGUCCCGUGAUCUCUCCAGGAGCAUCACACAGCCACACUGAAACAUCCCCAAGGAUGGAUGCAACAAUCAGCCAGCAAGCAUCCUGAUUGGCCCAGCACACUGAGCUGUGGUCCCCUCUUCUCUCUGUGCCUUCUCUAUGUCAUUUGUGUUAGGAGCAUGGGGUUGUGGGAAGAGCACGGCAUUUGGAGCCAGCUAUCCUGGGUUUGGAGACCAGCCUUGCCUCUUAACUGCCCAGGGGACCUGAAGAAUGGAACUGUAAGAGCUAGUGUUUAUCCAGUGCCUACUAGGUGUGAGGCAUGGCGCUAAGCACUGGACAAAUAUUAGCUCAUCUGAUCCUCAUAACAACCCUGAGAGGCAAGAGCUAUUAUUAUCAUUUCCAUUUUUAGUUGGGAAAUGUGAGGCAGAGAAGUUAAUUGACUUGUCCAGGGUCACCAAGUCAGUGUCUGAAGCUGGAUUUGAUCUUAGGUCUUUCUGACUAUUGAUCUACUGCUAACUUUUCUUGCUUCAAGCAAGUAACUUUUCUCUGGGCCUGAUUUUGUCCACUAUAAAAAAGUCUUUUUAUUGUAUUGUUGACUAUUUGAGAGUAUUUGGGGUUUUCUUGGCAAAGAUAAUGGAGUGGGGUUUGCCAUUUUCUUCAACUCAUUUGACAGUGAGAAAACGGAGACCAACAGGGUGAAGUGACUUACACAGGGUCUCACAGCAAAAAUAAUGGAGCAGUUUGCUAUUUCCUUCUCCGGCUCAAAAUUGAGACCAGUAGGAUUAAGUGACUUGCCAAUGGUCAAAUAGCAAAUAUACUGGAAUGGUUUUCCAUUUCCUUUUCCAGCUCCUUUUACACAUGAAGAAACCAAGGCCAACAGAAUUAAAUGAUUUUCCCAAGGUCAAACAGCAAAAAUAAUGAAGCAGUUUGCCAUUUCCUUCUCCAGAUCAUUUUACAGAUGAGGAAACUGAGACUAAAGAGGAUUAAAUCACUUGCCAAGGGUCACACAACGAAGAUACAGGAGUAGUUCACCAUUUCCUUUUCUAGCUCAUUUGACAGAUGAGGAAACUGAGGCCAACUGGGUACAUGUCAAGAGUCACACAGUUAGUAUCUGAGGCCAGAUUUGAACUCAGGUCUACAUGAUUCCAAGUACAGUCAAAUUGCCUUUUUGUUGUUGCUUUCUUUCAUUUGAUCCUUUCAUGACCUGAUUUGGGAUUUUCUUGGCCAAGAUACUAGUGUAGUUUGCCAUUUCCUUCUCUAUCUCACUUUACAUAUGAGGAAACUGAAGCAAGCAGGACCCAUGGUCACCCAGCUAGUGUAUGAAGUUGGAUUUGAACUCAUGAAGGUGACUCUUCCUGAUCCCAGUCCAGUGCUCUAUCCUCUGAGCUACCUAGCUGCCCCCAAAAAAGUCUCUAGAGGAAAGCCAUCAUGAGGAUCAAACGACUCAAAACUACAUCCUAAGAAGAGUCAUUGAAACAGGAUCCUGAUUAAAGUCUUUUGGAUAUUCUCUACCUUCAGGAUGGAGUCUCUCCCUCAGGUCUUGCCCUUCCCUGGGUGAGUGGAGCUCUGCUGAUCAUCCAACUCCAAUUCCCCCAAAGUCAUCAAGUGCUAAUGGUUCCCCCAUCCCAAGCAGGAGCUCUGAGGGCAGGGCUUCUGGAGAUGGUUCCAAACUGUUGCAAGAAAAGUGUUGAAGUUUAUAGAGAGAAGUGGCAUGAGAUCAGCAGGAAUGUUCUACAACUUGGAAGAAGGGUUAGUCUGGGACCAAGGUUGUUAGCUGGCUCUGGAGAAGCUCUGGAGGUAUUGGCUGUCCUUUCCUGCUUCUUGAUGGCUGUAUUUCAUCGAAGCAGUUUCUGGUGAACCUGGUCCCUCUUCAGUGAUUGUGAGAUCGAGUCUGGAACUUUUUUAGAUCGAAGGCCUUCCUUAGCCCUGGCAAAACCUUACACAGACUCUUAUCCUUCAAUCCAACAAAGGGGAGUUUUAAAAAGCUGAGGGCUUUAGUUAAGAUCAGGGACUGCAGAUUUGGGGAUUAGGGAAAAUUAGAGUAGGAAGUCCACUAAGAAGAAAUCCCUGUAAAGCAAUUUUUAGAUCUGGUGGGUACAGGUAGAUUAACAUUAGUUUGGAUUAUCCCAAAUCUUCUCUUUACCUUCCCUAAUUUAUUAACUACAACCAACUGUUCCUGUUAUAUAGUGGUUUGUGUACCAGAAUCCCCAGUACUGCCUUAGGGAGCAUUUACAGAUUUGAUUUUCUCAGGGCCUCCAUAGCGAAAGUGUCUGGAGAAAACAGCUGACUAAAGUGGGGAGUCAGCUUGCUAACAGGAAGGUGGAGUUCCUGUCAAGGUCCUGAGGGUAGGAGGAUGCUCCAUCCAGAAGGUUGGCCUUUCCAAAACCCACCUCUGAUGCUUGCUGCCUGUACAAUCUGGGCAAGUCUCUUCUCUGACCCUCAGUUUCCUCGUCUAUAAAAUGGGUCUAGACUAAAAGGCCUCCAAGGUGCCCCUUAGCUCUAGAUCUCUGAACUCACAUACAGUGUGUGACUUUGAGAAUGUCUAGUUCUGAGGCCCGGGUUCUCCUGUUAACUGAAAGGGUUGAAUUGCUUGUCUCUAGCCCUAAAAAGAAUUCAGUGAAAGGGCCCAGAGCUGGAGAAACUGUGGUAUGGGGAAGGCUACUUGAGAUGCCCCAAGAGGCCUAGAAAUCUGAUGGCUCUGACCUAGUGCUCUCAGGCUCCGCCUUUGUGUCUACCCCUCCAAGGGUUAGCUCCUCUUAAAGGGGUGUGAGUGGGUGCUUGCCCAUUAUUCCCCAUUAGGUCUUUUAUUUUAGCCCUGACCUUCCAUCUUAAAAUCAAUACUGAGCAUUGGUUCCAAGGCAGAAGAGCAGUGAGGGCUAGCCAAUGGGAGAUAAUUGACUUGUCCAGGGUCACCCAGCUAUGAAGUGUCUGAGGCCACAUUUGAACCCAGGGCCGCCCAUCUCCAGGGCUGAUUCUUUCUCCACUGUGCCACCUAGCUGCCCUUUCCACCCAAUUAGGUGUUAAUAUGAUUUGUCUUUUGAGAAUGAGGAAAAAUGAACAGGAUUAUGAGAAUGUACACAGUACAGAAACUUAUGAGCUACACCUUGGACCAGGCAGCUGGAAGGUGGGAGAAGCUGGGGUUCAUCCCCUUCCUCUCUCCCAUCCCAGCCUCAACAUCCAGCUGAUACAGCCAAGUUCAAAGUCAAACCUUUGGUGGUUUAGCCUCAGCUCUCUUCUUGGAGCACUUGCCUAAUUCUCCCUCCCCUCCUGCCUAAGGUGGGGAGAGAACAGGAGAACCUUCCCAAGCCAGCUUGGGGGAACAGACUGGGCCCUGGAGCUGGCCU